GACGAACGCUGGCGGCGUGCUUAACACAUGCAAGUCGAACGAUGAACCCGGAGCUUGCUCCGGUGGAUUAGUGGCGAACGGGUGAGUAACACGUGAGUAACCUGCCCUUGACUCUGGGAUAACUGCGGGAAACUGUAGCUAAUACCGGAUACGACCCUCGGCGGCAUCGCCAGGGGGUGGAAAGAAUUUCGGUCAAGGAUGGACUCGCGGCCUAUCAGCUAGUUGGUGAGGUAACGGAUCACCAAGGCGACGACGGGUAGCCGGCCUGAGAGGGUGACCUGCCACACUGGGACGGAGACACGGCCCAGACUCCGACGGGAGGCAGCAGUGGGGAAUGUUGCACAAUGGGUGCAAGCCGGAUGCAGCAACGCCCCGUGAGGGAGGGCGGCCUUCGAGUUGUAAACCUCUUUUAGUAGGGAAGAAGCGAAAGUGACGGUACCUGCAGAAAAAGCACCGGCUAACUACGUGCCAGCCGCCGCCGUAA
rnacentral:rRNA from 1 species